rnacentral:rRNA from 1 species
AGUGAACGCUGGCGGCAGGCCUAACACAUGCAAGUCGAGCGGCAGCACGGCAAUAGCAAUAUUGUGGGUGGCGAGCGGCGGACGGGUGAGGAAUGCAUCGGGAUCUACCCUGUCGUGGGGGACAACGUAGGGAAACUUACGCUAAUACCGCAUGAUCUGGAGACAGCAAAGCCGGGGACCCGCGAGGGCCUGGCGCGAUGGGAUGAGCCGAUGUCCGAUUAGCUAGUUGGCGGGGUAAAGGCCCACCAAGGCGACGAUCGGUAGCUGGUCUGAGAGGACGACCAGCCACACUGGAACUGAGACACGGUCCAGACUCCUACGGGAGGCAGCAGUGGGGAAUAUUGGACAAUGGGGGCAACCCUGAUCCAGCCAUGCCG